rnacentral:lncRNA from 10 species
AUAAAACCAGGAUUUGAGCCAGGAGUGGAACAUGGGGUUUUGUCUAGUUGCACAUUUCAACUCCAAUCAGCUAGCAGAAUCACCUUCUUCCAGUCUGGCCAUGCUUGAGAGUUUCUGUCCAACAUUGAGGAUUUAGCUGACAUAGAAAGCAUGGAAAUGAGUUCAUCCCUUUCAGCCUGGAUUCACUGCACCACAGGGACAGCUCUUCAGUUACCCAUUACAGAGGUUCAAAUGAUACUCCAACAGCUGGUGCAAUGAAGAAAGUAAAAUCAGGA